rnacentral:tRNA from 1 species
GGGAGAGUGGUCGAGCGGGCAAAAGCGACCGACUGUAAAUCUGUUGAAGGCUUUCUAUGUAGGUUUGAAUCCUGUCUCUCCCA